AGCAUCUAAUUCAGGAAAGGUUGUCUCUGUGUUAUGAGGCAGCAGAAGUGUUUGCAAGUCCAAAGAAGAGAACAAAUGGAAACGUAAUAUGUUGAAAAGUCUAAAGGAAAACUCGGGUGAGCCUGGGGAGAUGGACUAAUAGGAAGAAAAAGAUACUGAAUGCGGGAGGAAGAAGAAUCACAGAACUGAAGUUUUACUUUGUCGCCCAGGCUAGAGAAUAGUGGUGCCAUCUCUGCUCACUGCAACCUCUGCCUCCUGGACUCAAGAGAUUCUCAAGCCUCAGCCUCCUGAGUAGCUGGAACUAUAGGUAUGUACCAUCAUGCCUAGCUAAUUUUUAAAAUUUUUAGUACAGAUGGGUUUUCACCAUAUGGGCCAGGCUGGUCUCGAAAUUCUGACCUCAAGUGAUCUGUGUGCCUGGGCCUCCCAAACUGCUUGGAUUAUUUGAACUUUAAAAAAAUAUAUAUUUUUUGAUUUAUCUUCAGGGUUUUCCAGUGUAAAUCUUUCUGUAACUCUCUUUUAGUGUUUGCUCUGUUUCAUUAUAUAACUUAAAAUCCCCUUAUGCCAACAUUUCACCAGUUGUAAUGAAAUGUCAAAAUCAUACCUCCCUUAUGUCUCUUUACCCUCCUUCAUUUAUCUACAUGCAUUGGUAAUCACAGUAGAUGAAGUUAUACAUUUUAGCUUAACCAUCAAACAUAUUUAAGUAAACUCAAGGGUCAAUGGAAUGUUUUUACUUACUGAUGGUUUUACUUUCUCUCCUGUCUUUCUUCCUAAUAUUUUAAGAUUUCUCCUUCUAGAUGAGAAUAAUAAACACUGGGGAUGCCAAAAGGGAGAAAGAAGAGAGGGAGUGGGGCAAGGGUUGAAAACUACCUAUCGGGCACUAUGUUCACUACUUGGGUGUCAGGAUCAUUAGAAGCACAAACCUCAGCAUCA
rnacentral:lncRNA from 10 species